rnacentral:rRNA from 1 species
UACGGAGGGUGCAAGCGUUGUUCGGAAUCACUGGGCGUAAAGCGCGUGUAGGCGGCCUUUUAAGUCCGAUGUGAAAGCCCGGGGCUCACCCCCGGAAGUGCAUUGGAUACUGAAGGGCUGGAGUACCGGAGAGGAGGGUGGAAUUCCUGGUGUAGCGGUGAAAUGCGUAGAUAUCAGGAGGAAUACCUGUGGCGAAGGCGGCCCUCUGGACGGAUACUGACGCUGAGACGCGAAAGCGUGGGGAGCAAACAGG